GAUGAACGCUGGCGGCGUGCCUAAUACAUGCAAGUCGAGCGAACGGACGAGAAGCUUGCUUCUCUGAUGUUAGCGGCGGACGGGUGAGUAACACGUGGAUAAACUACCUAUAAGCCUGGGUUAAAUUCGGGAAAACGGAGCUAAUACCGGUUGAUAUUUUGAACAGCAUGGUUGCACCGUGAAAGACGGUGUUGCUGUCACUUAUAGUUGGAUCUGGGUUGGAUUAGCUAGUUGGUAAGGUCACGGCUUACCAAGGCAACGAUGGAUAGCCGACUCGGGAGGGUCAUCGGACACACGGUAACUGAGACACGGUCGAGACUCUGACAGGGAGCAACAGUAGGGAAUCUUCCGCAAUGGACGAAAGCCUAACGGAGCAACGCCGCGGGAAUGAUGAAGGUCUUCGGAUCGGAAAACUCUGUUAUUAGGGAAGAACAUAUGUGUAAGUAACUGUGCACAUCUUGACGGUACCUAAUCAGAAAGCCACGGCUAACUACGUG
rnacentral:rRNA from 1 species